rnacentral:rRNA from 1 species
UACAGAGGGGGCAAGCGUUGUUCGGAAUUACUGGGCGUAAAGGGCGCGUAGGCGGCCUGCUAAGUCGAACGUGAAAUCCCCGGGCUCAACCCGGGAACUGCGUCCGAUACUGGCAGGCUUGAAUCCGGGAGAGGGAUGUGGAAUUCCAGGUGUAGCGGUGAAAUGCGUAGAUAUCUGGAGGAACACCGGUGGCGAAGGCGGCAUCCUGGACCGGUAUUGACGCUGAGGCGCGAAAGCUAGGGGAGCAAACGGG